rnacentral:rRNA from 1 species
AGUGAACGCUGGCGGCAGGCUUAACACAUGCAAGUCGAACGGUAACACACUAUGAGCUUGUUCCUACUGGUGGAGGGGGGCGUAAUGGAGAGGAACAUAUCCAGAUCUAGUGUUUAGCGGAGCGUAACGUGGGGUAAUAUACGCUGAUAUCUGAUAAGAACAGCGGGGGAAAGCAGAGCAAUUUUUGACCUCGCGCGUUUGAAUGAGCCGAUGUCGGAUUAGCUAGUUGGUGGGGUAAAGGCCCACCAAGGCGACGAUCCGUAGCUGGUCUGAGAGGAUGAUCAGCCACACUGGAACUGAGACACGGCCCAGACUCCUACGGGAGGCAGCAGUGGGGAAUAUUGGACAAUGGGCGCAAGCCUGAUCCAGCAAUGCCGCGUGGGGGAAGAAGGCCUUCGGGUUGUAAACCGCUUUUGUCAGGAAAGAAAAGCUGCACGUUAAUACCGGGCGGUAAUGACGGUACCUGAAGAAUAAGCACCGGCUAACUACGUG